rnacentral:misc_RNA from 1 species
CCCCAGAAUUACAACAGCUUCAUUUUGGGCAUGCACCACUAUCUAUUAUUUUUUCUGGGCAUCCUCAAGAGUAGCUUGAGAAGAUAUUCAACAAAUGGAAGACUACAAUUAAGUUUAAAAGUUGACAGAUAUUCUCAAAAAUACGUUCUUAACUCUUAAAUAAUUCAUCUGUAACAGGCAAGCCAUACGAUAAAGGCAAAACA